GGUAAGAUUAGGGCGACGGUGGAAAAUGUUUGAGAUUAGGGUCAACUAAGAUUACCAGUAUAACUGAUAAGGCUUAUGAUUUAAAGUGAGGUAUCCCCUUAAAACUCUGAUUUCUGCAGAAAUAAAUCUUCAGAGCAAAAUGAUUGAAUUGUGAAAGCUAUAACUUAGCCAGUUCAUCCUAAUUUGAGUGGACUAGCUGCAUGGCAACUAUAGGCAGGUGGGGUGUGGCUGGAGAAGGUGGGCCACUAGGGGUAUGCCCUAAAAGGGUACAUGUCACUCAUGGCUUCUCACUGCCCCCUUUCUCUGCUUCCUUGCUUCUAUGAGGGGUUUAGCUUUCCUCUGCCGGGCCCUUCUCCCAUGAUAUGUUGCCUUACCUUGGGCCCAGAGAAAUGAAGUCAACAAUCUAUGGACUGAGAUGUCUGAAACCAAGAGCCCCAAAUAUACUUUCCUCCUCUAAGUUGUUUUUGUUGGGUAUUAUGGUCACAGUGAUGCAAAACUAACUAAAAACAGGAGGGAUUCUUCAGGAAAAGGUCUUUAAUAAGACAAUGGUCAGGGAUCAGAUAAGGGUUUCAAUUAGAUGUCAAGGUGUGUAAGGGGCACAGCUCACUCCCAAGUUGCAAGUCUGGCUUCUAUUGUUGGAACAGGGAGAAAGCAUUGCUCAGGGGACAACACUUGGAUGAAUCUGCCUCAUUACUCAGUUUGUGCAGGAGCCCUUUUCACUGAAUGCUUCAUGUCAGGGUCAAUGGUGGAUACAAUGACCUAUGAACAAGGUUUCAUCUUCCUUACUGGGGAAAAAUAUAUAGAAGCCAGUGUUUAUUUGAUCCGAGGGACCCUCUGCCACUGAGCUACAUCCUUAGUCUUUUUUAUUUUUUUAUUUUGAGACAGGACCUCUUUGAGUUGCCCAUGCUGGCUUCAGACUUGUGAUCCUCCGGGCUCAACCUCCUGAAGAGCUGGGAUUACAGGACUGUGCUACAGCACCCAGCUUCUCCUGGCUCCUUGAUCUUGGACUUCCAGCUUUCCAGAAUUGUUAACAAUAAAUUUCUGUUGUUCUUCAGUUACCCAGUCUAAGGUAUUCUGUUAUAGCAGCCAGCUAGACUAAGACACUGACCAAGGUCCCUACUUUCUUGCUAACUUUCAGCCAGGGACUGGCUUAGGUUCCAAGAGGUCAUCCUCUGUUUCAUGCCAAGUGGCUCCUCCUCUCAAGGGCUGUUUGAUUUCUUCUGCACAGGCAGGUAC
rnacentral:lncRNA from 1 species